GCCAAACAUCUUCCAUGAGUAACAAUGGUGACAAUCUGAAGAGCUCAGAUGGACACUUAACGAGCGGCAGGCUGUGGAACAGAGGACUCUCAAACUGAAAACCAAACAAGACCAAACAUGAAGAAAGCCUACUGUACUUAUGCCAAUGUUACAGGAGACCAGGAGCUCAUCCCAGACAGCAAAAUGCAUAUAAGCAGACACCAGUUCACCUAACUGCACGUCUUUGGACUGCAUGACGAAUCCUGUACAGCAAAGGCUAAACAUUCAAACUCCAGGCACACAGAGUGACAAUGAGAUUCAAACUGUCAGCCCUAGAGUUGUGCUACCCACAGAUUUGCCGGUGGUAUAUUUUAAGAUUUAAGGGUGGUAAAUAUUAUUAUUUUUAAGAAUGAACUAAAUAUGUCUUUAAAAAGAAAUAUGUUUUGAGAAGACCUUUAAA